AUGGGCGCAGCCUGAUCCAGCAUGCCGCGUGCAGGAUGAAGGCCUUCGGGUUGUAAACUGCUUUUGUACGGAACGAAACGGYKAGSUCUAAUACASUKWGCUMAUGACGGUACCGUAAGAAUAAGCACCGGCUAACUACGUGCCAGCAGCCGCGGUAAUACGUAGGGUGCGAGCGUUAAUCGGAAUUACUGGGCGUAAAGCGUGCGCAGGCGGUGAUGUAAGACAGAUGUGAAAUCCCCGGGCUCAACCUGGGAMCUGCAUUUGUGACUGCAUCGCURGAGUACGGYAGAGGGGGAUGGAAUUCCGCGUGUAGCAGUGAAAUGCGUAGAUAUGCGGAGGAACACCGAUGGCGAAGGCAAUCCCCUGGACCUGUACUGACGCUCAUGCACGAAAGCGUGGGGAGCAAACAGGAUUAGAUACCCUGGUAGUCCACGCCCUAAACGAUGUCAACUGGUUGUUGGGUCUUCACUGACUCAGUAACGAAGCUAACGCGUGAAGUUGACCGCCUGGGGAGUACGGCCGCAAGGUUGAAACUCAAAKGAAUUGACGG
rnacentral:rRNA from 1 species